rnacentral:rRNA from 1 species
ACGGGAGGCAGCAGUGGGGAAUAUUGGGCAGUGGGGGAAACCCUGACCCAGCAACGCCGCGUGAAGGAAGAAGGCCCUCGGGUUGUAAACUUCUUUUACCAGGGACGAACAAAAUGACGGUACCUGGAGAAAAAGCAACGGCUAACUACGCGCCAGCAGCCGCGGUAAUACGUAGGCUGCAAGCGUUGUCCGGAUUUACUGUGUGUAAAGGGCGUGUAGGCGGAGCUGCAAGUCAGAUGUGAAAUCCCGGGGCUCAACCCCGGAACUGCAUUUGAAACUGUAGCCCUUGAGUAUCGGAGAGGCAAGCGGAAUACCUAGUGUAGCGGUGGAAUGCGUAGAUAUUAGGAGGAACACCAGUGGCGAAGGCGGCUUGCUGGACGACGACUGGCGCUGAGGCGCGAAAGCGUGGGGAGCAAACAGGAUUAGAUACCCUGGUA